GACGAAGGGGGCUAGCGUUGUUCGGAAUUACUGGGCGUAAAGCGCGUGUAGGCGGUUGCCAAAGUCGGGUGUGAAAGCCUUGAGCUCAACUCAAGAAUUGCACUCGAUACUUGGUGACUAGACGACCGGAGAGGAUAGUGGAAUUCCCAGUGUAGUGGUGAAAUACGUAGAGAUUGGGAAGAACACCAGUGGCGAAGGCGGCUAUCUGGACGGUUUCUGACGCUAAGACGCGAAAGCGUGGGGAGCAAACAGG
rnacentral:rRNA from 1 species